rnacentral:rRNA from 1 species
AGAACGAACGCUGGCGGCAGGCUUAACACAUGCAAGUCGAACGCUCGUAGCAAUACGGGAGUGGCAGACGGGUGAGUAACGCGUGGGAACAUACCCUCCGGUUCGGAAUAGCUCAGGGAAACUUGGAUUAAUACCGGAUACGGCUGAGAGGCGAAAGAUUUAUCGCCGGAGGAUUGGCCCGCGUUCGAUUAGCUAGUUGGUGAGGUAACGGCUCACCAAGGCGAUGAUCGAUGGCUGGUCUGAGAGGAUGAUCAGCCACAUUGGGACUGAGACACGGCCCAAACUCCUACGGGAGGCAGCAGUGGGAAUAUGGACAAUGGGCGCAAGCCUGAUCCAGCCAUGCCGCGUGAGUGAUGACGGCCUUAGGGUUGUAAAGCUCUUUCGCUCGGGACGAUAAUGGACGGUACCGAGAUAAGAAGCCCCGGCUAACUUCGUGCCAGCAGCCGC